rnacentral:rRNA from 1 species
ACAUUUUUUAUUAAAUUUUUAUAAAUAAAAUCUGCUCAAUGAAUUAUUUUAAAUAGCCGCAAAUUAUUGUGCUAAGGUAGCAUAAUCAUUUGUUUUUUAAUUAAAAACUAGAAUGAAAGAUUUUACAUUUUAAUUUCUUUAUUAAAUAUUAUAUAUAAAUUUAUACUAAAUAUAAAAAUAUAUUUAUAAUAUAAAAAGACGACAAGACCCUAUUAAAUUUUACUUAUUGUUUAGCUGGGGCAGCUUUUUAAAUAAAAUUUUAAAAUUAUUUAUAUAUUAAUAAAAAUCUAAUAUAAUUAAAUUAAUCCAAUUACUAUAGGGAUAACAGCGUUAUAUUUUUUUCAAGUUCAUAUUAAAAAAAAUCAUUGCGACCUCGAUGUUGAAUUAUAUUUCUUUAUUAAUGCAACAAUUAUAAAAGUAGGUCUGUUCGACCUUUAAAAUAUUACAUGAUCUR